UUUCAAUAGAGGCAAUAGAGGGUUCAAAAAGGAAAAGUUAAUGAUAUUGUGAACUGAUUUUAUGAUGAUGUCAUUUUAUUGAUUGGAUGAAGAAAUGAGUUUCUUAGAAACAUUAAAAUGCAGUGAAAGUUAUUCUCAAAAUUAUUUUUUAGGCAAUGACUAUGAAAUUAUAAAUAUAUAUCUUAUAAAUUUUUAACUAAGUUCUUGAAAUUUGUUUACAGUUGUCCAAGAGCACAAUGCGUAUGCUCUUAAUGUUUGGCGUCGUGUGAAAGUUAAACUAGAAGGGAGGGACCUUGAGCCCUCGAGAAGAGCGUCAGUGGCGGAACAGGUGGACUACACCAUCAGGGAAGCCACAAACUUGGAUAACUUGGCAACCUUGUACGAAGGAUGGACACCAUGGGUGUAAAGAACCAAGAAAAGAAUACUAUUUUGAAAUAUUUUGUUGUCGCCCAUGUCUUCAGUGUACAAUUAUGACUAAUUUGGUACCAUCACUUUUUCUUCUGCCUGGUGAUUCAAUUCUCACUUACUCUGUGAUACUUUGAAUGUGAAAGCAGAUUUCCUAAAUGUCUAAUGCACUGUGUUGUUCAUUAGAAUUGUUACAUUGCCCAAUUCAUAUAUAAUUAAUAAAUAUAUGGUCUAUUCCUUGCAUUUAUAGUUUGUUUACAUAUUAAUUGUGUAUUAAUUCAAAUGAAAAUUUUAUUUUAAAUAUAAUAUGCUUUGUCACAUCA
rnacentral:lncRNA from 1 species